AACUCUAACUUGCCAAGUCUAACACCUCGGAAAUAGAAACUUUCAACUUGCAUUUCACCUCGGCAGCAUUUGUUUUUGUAGAUGAGAUUUUUUCCUCCUUUACAGCCACCCUCUCACCAUAAAAAAAACUUCCUUUGAGCAGAAUAAAAAACGACCUGAACCGGAUUUGCUCUGUUAGAAUGAGUCUGAUGGAACACCUGAUCAGGAGAGAAACUGACACACAUGUAUCUUCAGGAUGGUUAUCUUUGUUGCCAGCAAAAGGCUGGCAAUACAAAUUCAAAAUGUCAGCUGACUGAAAUACCAUCUGGGAACCCUGAUCUAAGAAAGAUAGCAGAUCUCAGCUAGUCCAGCCUACUCAUCAGAUAACCAACUUGGAAUGGUUCACCCACUCUUCAACUCCUUGGCAACCAUAACCAUGUUUUUAAAAUGUCAAAAUUUUGUUUUUAGAAAGGAUCUGAGCCAUCCACAGAGGCAAAGUGAAACAUAGGAAAUACUUGUCAACUGAAAAAAAAUGUUAUUACAAAUGUGCUUAAUAAAUUCCAUAUACUAUAAAUGUGCUUUAAUAAAGUUACAGCUUCAAAUGAAA